rnacentral:sRNA from 1 species
AUACGAUUUUAUUGGAUGUAGUAACCGAUGUGAUCAUACGAGCACUAAUGCACCUGAUCCCAUCGGAACUCUAUAGUUAACCGUGCUUGGGCGAGAGUUGUAUUAGGAUGGGUGACCUCCUAGGAAGUCCUCGUGUUGCAUCCCUUUUUUUUUUUUUUAGUUUUUAUCUUUUUUUUGUUAAAA